rnacentral:lncRNA from 1 species
GGGGUAAGGAGACCAGCAAGGGAUAUUGAGGCACCCAGGGCUAAACUUAGAGGGAAGCUGUCAUCACCCUAGGGCCUGAGGAGGAAGGGGAGAAAAUACUGUUUGGGGGGCCUGGUGGGAGCUGUAGCUGGGAGGAGGACCAUGAGGGAGAAACCAUAGUCAUGGAAGGAUGUUGUCACUGCCAGGACCAAGGCACCAAGGACAGAGGAAGUGCUUUUUGCCUGGCCUUAAAGGGGAGAGUUUCGGGGAGGAUGUAUUUGAGCUUCAUCUUAAAGACGAGCAGGACUCAGCGAGAAGACAUGGCAGCGGUGGUGGGUCCUGGCGGAAGGAAGAGCGUGGCCCAUAGCAUGAGGCACGGGUUUCAUUCAAACCAAACUUCCUUCAUGAAGCCUUCUGCAACCCCAUGCCUCUCAGUGAAACGUCCUUCCUUACUGUGCACAUGAGCCCUGUGGCACGUGGCAACUGUGCCUGGAUACCCCAAUUUCUCUUUCUAAGGCAGGGAAUUUUCUUGUACUUCCUUUAGUCCCA